CCUACGGGGGGCUGCAGUGGGGAAUAUUGCACAAUGGGGGAAACCCUGAUGCAGCGACGCCGCGUGAGUGAAGAAGUAUUUCGGUAUGUAAAGCUCUAUCAGCAGGGAAGAAAAUGACGGUACCUGACUAAGAAGCCCCGGCUAACUACGUGCCAGCAGCCGCGGGAAUACGUAGGGGGCAAGCGUUAUCCGGAUUUACUGGGGGUAAAGGGAGCGUAGACGGCCAGACAAGUCAGAAGUGAAAACCCGGGGCUCAACUGCGGGAGUGCUUUUGAAACUGUUUGGCUGGAGUGCAGGAGAGGUAAGUGGAAUUCCUAGUGUAGCGGUGAAAUGCGUAGAUAUUAGGAGGAACACCAGUGGCGAAGGCGGCUUACUGGACUGUAACUGACGUUGAGGCUCGAAAGCGUGGGGAGCAAACAGGAUUAGAUACCCGAGUAGUC
rnacentral:rRNA from 1 species